rnacentral:lncRNA from 1 species
UUGAAGGCUUGGCAUCCUGAGAAGAGUGCUGGAAUUGACCUGUUGUGAUACAGGGGUUACACGUUGAGGAUUGUUUGACAUGGGUUCAGAUUGCAAAAGAGGGGAUUCUUGUUGCAAGUCUGGUUUUGGUUAUUGCAGCUAUAUUUUGGUUUUGGGUUAGAGAGGAGAUUUAUAUAUUUUUGAUGUGAGGUCUUCUAUAAAUUCCUUGUUGUAAAAACCGCAACCUAUAUAGUACAUUUG